rnacentral:rRNA from 1 species
CACGCCCUAAACGAUGUUAACUAGUUGUUGGGAAGUAAUAUUCUCAGUAACGCAGCCAACGCGAGAAGUUAACCUCCUGGGAAGUACGGUCGCAAGACUAAAACUCAAAGGAAUUGACGG